rnacentral:tRNA from 1 species
UGUCCUCGUAGCUCAGUAGGAUAGAGCGGUUGCCUCCUAAGCAACAGGUCGUGCGUUCGAUUCGCGCCGGGGACGU